AGUGAGACACUGAAGACCAGCACUGAGGCCACCUCAGAUCCAAACACAGAGCCCAGUACUGCCUUAUACCCUGGAACACCUAUCAACCAGGACAUAGUGAAGGAGAAGAAAAAGAAGAGGGCUAUUAUACUGACCAAAGAUGAGAAGAACAUGGCUGCCUUAGAGAAUACCUGCCAGGCCUUUAGGUCCGACCAGACGGAGUAUGAGCGGUUUCUGGAUCACAUGACUCUCUGGCUCCAGGAGCACCAGGAACAGGCAGUGGAGCUGUUCAGCCUGUGUGACACAGACAGCACUGGUACCAUCGGCCCCGAGGACUUUGAGCUGAGUAAUCCAUCCCUCUUCUGCUCUGUUACACCCUCAUUCCCAGCCAAAUGACCCAAUAUCAGCUGGAAAAUCUAUCUCAAAGCUUUCAUCUGGGGCUCAUGGCUGCAAUUAAAGUAUGUCAAAGGAUUACCUCAUAAUGAGUCCAAAUACUCUUUUCAAUGCUAGUAGUUCACUCUAGCAUGUUUCAGUGAGUUCCAUUUGGAAAUGUUGCGAUGAGUCUUUCCACUGUAGACCCCUUGAAAAGUAAGGUCAAAUGUAACUGGCUGUUCUCAGCUCCUUUAAAUGUAACAUAAAGAAAACCACCGUGGCAAGCGAUUACAAACCGUUUUAUGAGACUCCUGAGUCAGUCCUAUCUGAAUGCCACUGACUGUGUGGGCUUUUAUUGAAGAUAUAUAAGUGCUUAUGGUCAGUGUUCUGAUUCAGACUGCUUAGAAUGCAAGCACUUGUUCAUUUCCUGGAGAGCUUGUAAGUGGCCCUCUCACCCCCCACAGAUAACAGCUCGCCCUGAGAAACAAAAACAGAACAAUGUUCCUUUUGUCCUUCAGGCCCCAGACAUUGAGUAUACUGUAAGUUUCUUCAGAAGAAAACAUUAAUCCUUCAGAAAGUUGGAGCCAAGGAGAACCAAGGAGCACAGUCAGCCUUAAAUCCAACAUUCAGGCCUCUUUUAUUUAUUUAUUUACAUUUUAUUUAACCUUUAUUUAACUCUUGGCUAAUGCCUCUGUGGAUAGAGCCAUUCAAUGGCUGAUUCACUGGAGAGAUAGCAUCAUCAUUGAUAUAAGAAUCACUAUCUAGGGGAUUAGCACUUUAUAAUGGACAUCUAAUAGCCACAAUUUCUGUAGAUUGUCUCUGGUAUAAAAAGCAAUAAGUUCAAAUUGGAAAUCCCUUACAUCCUUAGGUAUGACAGAUUUGGGGAUUCCAUGUCUGCAAUUUCAGCUGGAUCUGCUGUCUCAGCUACUGAGGAGAGGCAACGAUGGGGAGAUUGAUUACAGGGACAUGAGCAACCAACUACAGCGAGUAAGGAAAGCAGUAUAUCCUUCACGUCGGACGCUUUGGACUCGUUUAAGGAAAAAGCUUCUACCAGUUUGUGAGUGGAGGGUAAGGAUGAGAGAGAAGAGAAUGCUGGUCCCUGCUGUUUGGAGAUCACUAGAGAGAAGCUACAGCCCAGUCCCAACUGUCAGCUGGGAUUGUGGAGCCCACCACCUCCUGAGACAAACAGGUUCAUUCUUCUGAGUAUCAGACUUAUACCAUUUGACUACGGAGGAGCCCAUCCAGGGAGCUUUUAGGUGGUUCUUCCUAGGAGCACCAGGGUGUCCAGCCUGUUCAGGGUGAUCGAGGAGCGGGUUGGGAUCCAGACCACCAGCCUGCAGGUGUUCAGAACCAGAGUUCCCUCCUAGGAGUCCUUCCUACCGCCAGACAGCUCUCUUGGGGAGUGUGGCUUCACUGGAGGCCCUGAGGACUCACCCAGACAGGCCACACUGUUCUAUGACUACAGGCUGGAGUUCACUGACUGCCCCAUCCUCAACUGUGACCACUACUUUGGUUCUAAGCGACCUCAGAUUGGGGAGGACUACUUUGCAUCAAGGCCUGUCUUGGUGACCUGUAUAACUUAUAGUAUCAGCUGUGUAACUUACUAUAUCAGCACUUUUUUGAUGUACAGAUCUAUCUUUGUGUGACUAGCACCAUGAAGCAAUUACAGUUGAUAAUUGGCUGUGUUUAGCUAAUUAUUAAAUCUGAUAAUUAAAAGUGCAUUAAUGUCAGCGUUAUACAAGACUUGGGCAGGACACUCCUUACAAUCAGCAGCUUCUGACAUAGUUUUGUGUAAAGUGUGUAAAGUGUGAGAUUGCCUUUUUAAUACCAAAACAACCAUUUUCCUAUGGGCCUCAGGGCACAGUGGAGAUCCCUGGGGUGUGUCAAAUUGAGUGGUGUAGUGGAAAGUGCUGCUCUAGUGGAAACCAAAGGGGACUAUAAAUGGCGGCUCUUGUGGUGGCCCACUAAAGCGUGCCUGCCCUGAGUGAGACACACCCUUUGUUCCCUGCUACCCC